rnacentral:lncRNA from 1 species
GCCUGAGAAGAGAACAAGUAAACAAUACUCAAGUGGAAGUUUACUUCAAGUGGAAGCUGAGGAAUGUAGGACUAGACAAACAAUUUCAAGCAUCGACUAGAUUAGCAAAGGAUCAAGAAUAAGAGAGAUUUAAUCAUAAUUAUGACAUGAUUAGCAUACUCCAAAGUUUCAGAAACUAUUAAAUUACCGCCUUUUAUCUCAC